rnacentral:tRNA from 1 species
AGCCUUAUAGUCAUUAUUUGAUUUAAAAUUGCAAAUUUUAGGGGGUAUAUCUAUACUAAGGCUU